CGGACAUGAGGCGAGCCUGAUCCAGCAAUGCCGCGUGAGUGAUGAAGGCCUUAGGGUUGUAAAGCUCUUUUACCCGAGAUGAUAAUGACAGUAUCGGGAGAAUAAGCUCCGGCUAACUCCGUGCCAGCAGCCGCGGUAAUAAGA
rnacentral:rRNA from 1 species